rnacentral:misc_RNA from 1 species
GCGUUGGCAACACGGUCAGAGAAUGUUGUGGUUCUGUCAAAAAAAAAAAAGAAAGUAAAUAACAAAGCUCUACUCUUUUUCUUCAGAAUUUUCAGGGAUAUAGGCCAGUGUCUGGGAGACGUUAGCAGCAGAUAUAUUUAGCCAAGAUGGGUGAUGGAAUGCUAUCCCUGUCUUGGAACAAUCACCAUGCUACUUUCUGUGAUAUAUUAAGUAAAUUAAGAGAAAAGGAAAGCUACACAGAUGUAACACUGUCCUGUGAAGGAAAUUUUUAUCCAUUGCAUAAAUUAGUCUUGUCAACGUGUAGUGAAUAUUUUGAGAAAAUAUUUGAAAGAACACCAUGUAAACAUCCAGUGAUUGUGCUAAAUGACAUUAAGUGCAGAGAACUUGAGGCACUGUUGAGCUAUAUGUAUGCUGGGGAAGUGAGUGUGCCACAGAGCAACCUAGCUAUGCUUAUAAAAGUGGCAGAAGUCCUGCAGAUCAAGGGCCUGGCAGUGCCUGACACGCCCCCAGCUCCUGCCAAAUCUAAGACAAGUUCUCUCGAGUCUGGGACCGAGAGAAGCAGCCCACACCCUCCUAAAAGACGCAGGACGGAGGAAAGACUCGUAGACACCACCAGAACGAUGCACGAAUCCACAAGUCCCAACGUCAGAUUGAACCCCACCGAGAAAGGGAGACAAGUGACUCAUGAAGAGGGACACCCCAGGAAAGGCCAGGAAGAAGCUCAAGACCCUCUUUCUGUGUCUGAGAUUGGGCGGGAAGAUUACUAUGCUGCGGAAAUUAAAGAGGAGAUUAUCGAGGAUGUGGUUGACACUGAAGACACUCAGAUAGGAAGGACAGAUCACAGCAUAGAAUACGAUGCUCAACUUGCCCCUUUCAAAAGUGAGGGCAGUAGUAGAGACAGCAUAUCAGGACACACAGGCUCAGCAGAAUACAGUGAUCCACAUUUUGAACACCUCAACACCUCUGGACUGCAGACAAAUGAAAUGAACCCAGGACCCUCGGAGAUGAUUGAGUGGCAUGACGGCAUAGUAGAAUCGGACAUGACUUCCGGAGAAGGCUGUAGUGGAGUGGGCAUCCUUCAGCCAUCGUCACCCAUGUUAGGCCAGCAAACACCACAGCUUCUAGCACAGCAAGGGAUGGUAGCACUUGAGGGCUCAUCGGCAGCAGCGGCGAUGGUCAGAGUCCGUGGAGGCUACACACGCUGGACGCCCGAGGAACGGCUCCUGAUUGCCAAGGCAUGCAUAAGGAUGGGGCCCAAUAAGGCUGCCAGGGAGCUCUCCAGGACCCUCAACAAGAAGCUGAGCAAGUCCACUGUCCAAAAUAUCCACAAGCAGUACCUGGAAAGGGUGGCAAAGCGGCAGCUGGUCAAUGCACCAUUGAGUCUCCCUCAGGGGAGGCAAGGACAAUGAGAGGAGGAUACCCAGCAGUCUACUGGAUGGUUCAGUUCUUGUUUGUCGCUGUCAUCGGAGGCCAGCGCUGCAUUGUUUCUUCUGUUCUUUUGAAAAUAAAGAUGGAAGCAAGUGAACAUACAGCGCUGGCCAAGUGCCGGGGUGUUUACAACCGUUGGACGCCUGAGGAACGCCUUCAGAUUGGCAGGGCUUGUACAGAGAUGGGAGCCGCUAAGGCUGCACGGGAGC